GACAGAGGGUGCAAACGUUGUUCGGAAUUACUGGGCGUAAAGCGAGUGUAGGCGGUUUGGUAAGUCGGAUGUGAAAGCCCCGGGCUCAACCCGGGAAGUGCACUCGAUACUGCCAGGCUAGAGUAUCGGAGAGGUUGGUGGAAUUCUCGGUGUAGAGGUGAAAUUCGUAGAUAUCGAGAGGAACACCGGUGGCGAAGGCGGGUCUCUGGGCCGAUACUGACGCUGAGGAGCGAAAGCGUGGGGAGCGAACAGG
rnacentral:rRNA from 1 species